rnacentral:lncRNA from 1 species
AAGGUGGAUGAUGAUGUUAUAAAAAUCGACGUGCAUGUGCCGAAAGAAUAUAUAAAACUUGUAGUGGGCAAAGGACAUAAGAAUAUAGAGAGAGCCGAAACGAAAUCCGGAACAAAAAUCAAAGUGCCCUCUCCCCGAAAUGCUGAAGGUACGUUAGAAUCGUUUCACAUUUUAAGGGAUAAACGUUUUGUUUGCAUGUUAAUCUAGAAUGCUUUUAGUCGGUUGUUAGAAAUUUCGGUAGCAUUUAUGUCAGCAAGGAGUUUCACCUUCCAAAUUUUUGGCGGAACAUUUUUACUGUAAGAGAUAUUUUUGCCCGCUACUCUAUUUCGAGUAAUUGGAUACAAAGCACGAGGUUUCCUUAAUUCAGCCCCAUUCGGGCUAAUUAGUUGUUCUGGACUGGGACUUAUUAGAAUUGGGGCGGGGGGAGGGCUAAAUAGAGGAAACACUGUAGGCACACAAGUGAGCCAUUUCUAUAUAAAGAAGAUAUGAAAGGGGCUUUCAUGCUGCCUUCUUUGUGCGUUGCAUUUUUCAGGUUUUCCUCCUUAAUUGCCUAAAAUAAUACAAGAAGCAAACGUUUAAUAUACAAUUUAAUGUUUUCAUCGCCUUUUGUAUAAACAAUUUGUACAAAUUGUACAAUCAAUUUGUAUCCUAUAUCCAAUAUAGUAAUUUAAUUCACACCACAAACAUAUUUCAACAACAACACCAACUACAGCCAACGACAAUGAAAAUUAACUUUAUUGAAAUAAACGAUUUAAUUAUAUAUACAAUUCUAGUCUCUAUCAUUUAGGUGAUUUAAAUUUUAGUAUAGGUAAUCAUGCGAUGUUGCUCGUACAAUUAGGGAUUAAUAGUACUCGUGAUGUUUGGAAAUUUGCCAAAUUGGACUCGCCCGCCGUACUUGUUUAUUAUUAGCAUGACAAAAUUGGAUACUUCUCAAUGUCAACAUCAUAUUCUCUCGCCAAAGCCCAGUCCUGCCAGACAUUCAACCAAAAUUUGGUGCUUUUGUUUGUAUUUCCAUUUAGUUCUUUUGUUAAAGCAAAAUUUGGUGCUUUUCUUCGUAUUUUCAUCUGGUUCCUCCACUGCAAUUUCAUUUCACAUUUGUGUAUAAAAUACCUUUCCGCCAUUUUGUUUGUUUUUGGAAAAUCAUUAAUUGUACUGCAGUACAAUUAAUGAAAUAAUUGUACUCCUCUCAACCAAUCAGCGUCCAGUAAUUUUGUCAUGCUAAUAAUAAGCCAUGUAAUAGAUAACUUAUUGACAGAGCUUGUUCGGUUCAGACAGUAGGAUAUGUAGAAUAUUUGUUUCUGGACCGAGCCUUAGGUGAGGUCCAUAUACAACAGAAAAGCACUACCCGUCAAGGAAACUUGCCAUUCUGUGACGACAAAUAACGUGGUAGGAAGCUAUGAAAUACGGUUCCUCGGAUAUCCUUGUCGGGUGCCUUGUCUGUGAGUUUGUAUAUUUUGCUACCACUAUUUCGGCACCAAAAUAUCAAUACCAUGAUAAGGUUUUGCUUCUGCACCACCUCCCAUCUCACUGAUCUACUGCAUUUCAUGCUGAUCAACUGCAUCUCUUUGAGGACAAGGAUUGGUGAGCAUCGGCCUUCAGCCAUUGGCAAUGAUGCUAAUCAGCCUGUCGGUUCAAUUCGAGCCCUCGCCUCCUUACCUUACCUUACCUUACCUCACCUCACCUCACCUCACCUCACCUCAACGCGCCUCGCCUUGCCUUAUCUUGUCUUGUCUUGUCUUCAAAAUUACUUUAUACCACAACUUGUUUUCACUAACAAAAUUUAGCUCAACGUGGAGAUACAAUCAAAUUGGAAAUUACUGGAACAGCCAAAAAUUGCGCCCGAGCCGAACUGCUCCUCAAAAAUGGCGUCGUAAGUUUUUUCUGUCCAUACCUGCAUAUGAAAUUAAAGUUUUAUAACAUUCUCAUCAUAGUACAAGAUAGCAUAAUAAAUUUAAAUUUGCAAUUGUAGAUUUCCUUAAAGGACAAAUUUUUGGGAAAUGAAUUUGAAGGCAAUAUUCAUUUUGUUUGCGUCGCUUUUAAACAUGAAAAUGAAGAGUUUCGCUUGACACCAGGUGCAAGUGCUCCUAAACUGGAUAAUUUCAUUAAAGGUCAGAGAUAUAGAAUUGAAACCGAGAUGGACGAUGAUGACUCCCAGGUAACGUCAAUGUAACAAGAAAUUAAC